rnacentral:rRNA from 1 species
UACGGGAGGCAGCAGUGGGGAAUAUUGGACAAUGGGCGAAAGCCUGAUCCAGCCAUGCCGCAUGAGUGAAGAAGGCCUUCGGGUUGUAAAGCUCUUUUAGUGAGAAAGAUAAUGACGGUACUCACAGAAGAAGUCCUGGCUAACUCCGUGCCAGCAGCCGCGGUAAUACGGAGAGGGCUAGCGUUAUUCGGAAUUAUUGGGCGUAAAGAGCGCGUAGGCUGAUUAGUAAGUUAAAAGUGAAAUCCCAAAGCUUAACUUUGGAAUUGCUUUUUAAAAACUGCUAGUCUAGAGAUUGAAAGAGGAUAGAGGAAUUCCUAGUGUAGAGGUGAAAUUCGUAAAUAUUAGGAGGAACACCAGUGGCGAAGGCGUCUAUCUGGUUCAAAUCUGACGCUGAGGCGCGAAGGGCGUGGGGAGCAAACAGGGAUUAGAUACC